GGUGUGAUGGCUAUCCGUCUUCGUUUAUAUACAUCAUAUAUUUACAUAAUUUACAUAAUACAUACAUAUGGCUUGGUCCAAUAAUAAUGGUAGCAGCAGUAUUUUCACCACUCCUCU
rnacentral:ribozyme from 1 species